rnacentral:rRNA from 1 species
AAAUUGAAGAGUUUGAUCAUGGCUCAGAUUGAACGCUGGCGGCAGGCCUAACACAUGCAAGUCGAGCGGUAGCACAGAGAGCUUGCUCUCGGGUGACGAGCGGCGGACGGGUGAGUAAUGUCUGGGAAACUGCCUGAUGGAGGGGGAUAACUACUGGAAACGGUAGCUAAUACCGCAUAACGUCGCAAGACCAAAGUGGGGGACCUUCGGGCCUCAUGCCAUCAGAUGUGCCCAGAUGGGAUUAGCUAGUAGGUGGGGUAACGGCUCACCUAGGCGACGAUCCCUAGCUGGUCUGAGAGGAUGACCAGCCACACUGGAACUGAGACACGGUCCAGACUCCUACGGGAGGCAGCAGUGGGGAAUAUUGCACAAUGGGCGCAAGCCUGAUGCAGCCAUGCCGCGUGUGUGAAGAAGGCCUUCGGGUUGUAAAGCACUUUCAGCGGGGAGGAAGGCGGUGAGGUUAAUAACCUCAUCGAUUGACGUUACCCGCAGAAGAAGCACCGGCUAACUCCGUGCCAGCAGCCGCGGUAAUACGGAGGGUGCAAGCGUUAAUCGGAAUUACUGGGCGUAAAGCGCACGCAGGCGGUCUGUCAAGUCGGAUGUGAAAUCCCCGGGCUCAACCUGGGAACUGCAUUCGAAACUGGCAGGCUAGAGUCUUGUAGAGGGGGGUAGAAUUCCAGGUGUAGCGGUGAAAUGCGUAGAGAUCUGGAGGAAUACCGGUGGCGAAGGCGGCCCCCUGGACAAAGACUGACGCUCAGGUGCGAAAGCGUGGGGAGCAAACAGGAUUAGAUACCACGGUCCACGCCGUAAACGAUGUCGAUUUGGAGGUUGUGCCCUUGAGGCGUGGCUUCCGGAGCUAACGCGUUAAAUCGACCGCCUGGGGAGUACGGCCGCAAGGUUAAAACUCAAAUGAAUUGACGGGGGCCCGCACAAGCGGUGGAGCAUGUGGUUUAAUUCGAUGCAACGCGAAGAACCUUACCUGGUCUUGACAUCCACAGAACUUUCCAGAGAUGGAUUGGUGCCUUCGGGAACUGUGAGACAGGUGCUGCAUGGCUGUCGUCAGCUCGUGUUGUGAAAUGUUGGGUUAAGUCCCGCAACGAGCGCAACCCUUAUCCUUUGUUGCCAGCGGUCCGGCCGGGAACUCAAAGGAGACUGCCAGUGAUAAACUGGAGGAAGGUGGGGAUGACGUCAAGUCAUCAUGGCCCUUACGACCGUGGCUACACACGUGCUACAAUGGCAUAUACAAAGAGAAGCGACCUCGCGAGAGCAAGCGGACCUCAUAAAGUAUGUCGUAGUCCGGAUUGGAGUCUGCAACUCGACUCCAUGAAGUCGGAAUCGCUAGUAAUCGUAGAUCAGAAUGCUACGGUGAAUACGUUCCCGGGCCUUGUACACACCGCCCGUCACACCAUGGGAGUGGGUUGCAAAAGAAGUAGGUAGCUUAACCUUCGGGAGGGCGCUUACCACUUUGUGAUUCAUGACUGGGGUGAAGUCGUAACAAGGUAACCGUAGGGGAACCUGCGGUUGGAUCACCUCCUUACCUUAAAGAA